rnacentral:lncRNA from 1 species
AAGUUAUAAAGCACUCACAUUGGAAUUGCAUUCAGACUUUCAAUUUUAGGGACAUCGUGCGACAUAAACUCAAUUAAGGGACAUAUAUUCAAUUUUGCAUCUAAGUCACCAAGGGUCUUCUCCACUUACAUGUGAAGUUAUGAAGCAUUCACAUUAAAACUGCAUUCCGCCUAUCAAUUUUAGGGACAUCGUGAGACAUAAUCUCAAUUUUAGGGACAUCGUGAGACAUAAUCUCAAUUUAGGGACAUGUAGGGACAUAUAUUCAGAUUUGCAUCUAAGGCACCAAGGGUCUUUUCCACUUACAUGUGAAGUUAUGAAGCAUUCACAUUGAAAUUGCAUUCAGAUUAUCAAUUUUAG